CUAGCUCUGAAAGCUAGACUAAAGGAUGAGCACCCUUCCACGUGCUGGUCCAGGCGCAUCAUGUCCCCUUACCACCAAGACUCUUGUAAGGAAUCAAAGGAACAUAGGAGAGAGCGAGGAAGGAAGCAAGGUUCUGGGAGAGAACAGACUUCCGAGUGAAAACCAAAAGUGAAAGAAAAAGCUGGUGAAACAGAGUGGGAAGAGCGUGUGAGGAAGAUGGCGUCUGUCCAAAAGCUGAUAACUGGCCACUGAGGGUCUGAGCAGACGAGGACUAUUCUCAGACAAAACAAAGCAAAACCGAACAGCCACCAUUUGCUACCCUGUACACAUAAGAGAACAGGACCUUACUACGUAGCCCUGGCCGACCUAUAACUUGCUAUCUAAACCAGAUUGGUCCUGCAAUCAGAGAUCUGCCAGCCUCUGCCUCCUGAGUGCUAGUAUUAAAGGUUACCUGCUUCCAGAACAUCCAUACUUCAUUCUAUGGAUGCAUUUUGAAGGUGCCAAGAAAGAAGAAAAGAUAACCAGUUGUGAACACUGUGCUUCUCAUUAGGAGUCACAGGCACAUCCCCUUUCUCAUGAGUUCACACUGUGACGUACUCUGGACGGGGAUGCUGAACUUCAUACGCUCUCCAAAGCUACCAGAUCCUGGACUUCCACCUUUGACAGUUUGCUGAUGCUCACUAGUAGCCUUGACUUAGUGUCAGGGUUCAAUUCUUAUGGAAAAUUAAAUGAUAACUGUUUUGUAAUUAAACUAAA